rnacentral:rRNA from 1 species
UACGUAGGCAGCAAGCGUUGUUCGGAGUUACUGGGCGUAAAGGGUGCGUAGGCGGCCCUGUAAGUAUGGUGUGAAAUCUCCCGGCUUAACUGGGAGGGUGCGCUAUAGACUGCGGGGCUCGAGUGUGGGAGAGGAAAGUGGAAUUCCUGGUGUAGCGGUGAAAUGCGUAGAUAUCAGGAGGAACACCGGUGGUGUAAACGCUUUCUGGACCAUAAACUGACGCUGAGGCAACGAAAGCGUGGGUAGCAAACAGG